CACAGCUCUGCACCCUGGCAUCAAUGGGACGCUCAUUCGACAGAUUAGCAGCGAGCUGAAGUGGCGUCUGAAGUUCGCUGUAACUGAGCUCUGAUUCUCUCCCCAGACUCUGGAACGCCUUCUUCACAAUCCGAACAGCUGCUUCAGCAGAGCCAUUUCGAUGGGGUGAAUCAGCCGGCUGGAUUUCCCAAUGCCAGCUGGUUCCAUUUUGAGCUGAAGUUUCCUCCACAGCAGGCCUAUCCAGACCAUCCAGAAACUGAUACAACUCCUCCAGAACAGUAGAGUCGCAGCUGUUCCCUCGUGACCCCUGCUGUGAGCUUCACGAACCAACAAUGUUGAAACCCAGGCACUGUAAGUGAUGACCCCGGCUGAUGAAACUGCCUCCCACUUUGGAGUCCCCAAGAUCCUGCUUUGAGCUGCAAAGCACUUAGCUGCUCUCCAGACCUGGGCAACCGCUUUAACCAGGUGAGUCAGGUUGCUGAACCGUCCUUCAUCCACCAGGUUUCGGACAGAAGCACCAGCAGGUGGUCUCCGACACUCCAGGUCUGGUGGCCCUUUCUUCACCUGAGCUCUUGCGAGUACGGCAGUAAAUGUUUUCUUUUGCAUCUUUCCAACACUCUCUCUGGCAGUUGCGGAUACGUCCUUUGCAGACUUAAUUGGCCACUCAUUUGCUGGUAAACUCAGGAACUGGUGAACCUUCAUCCAAAUCUUUUGGACCAGCCCCACGAGUGAUAAUAUCAGCAAUGUUGAGCGUUCCAGGGAUCCACCACCAAUCCUGACGUUGCGUGC
ensembl:lncRNA